UCAGAGAGCAGCAGAAAUGAUGGAGUCAACCAGGCUGGUGGUCAUGAAUACAGCUCUCCUCUUCAGGAAGUCACUCCAACAUAUGCUGAGAUCAACCACCAGGCUAGAGCCAAUAGAAAGAAAAAAGGAAGUCCUGCAGCCACAGAUAAAACGGUUUAUUCUGGCAUCAGGUCAGGAGCAGCUCUGCACAUCGACUCUGCCAUGUAGGCUGCAGGAUGUUUUGAUUUAUUAUAGGAUUUAUGAUAUGGAUUACGCUCAUAACAUUCUUAUGUGUUCUGGUUACAAGUCUUCAUAAACCCUGUACUAGCUGAACACAGAAAUAUUGUCUGAAACUGAAGUAGGUAAAAGAAAAAUCAGACACACUCAGUAGUGUGAACAGAAAUGCUUUGUAAAAUCCAGACAGGCAGUAAUGUACAUAUUUUUAAUAUAAUUGAUCUGGAGAUCCAGGGUGUUGCUAAUAUUUUGAAUUUGGUCCUUUGCUGUUUUAUAUUCUGCAUCAGUUUUAUUUCUUCUUUUGCUUUAGCUUCCUAAACUAACUUUUAUAUAAUCAGGUUCCAUUUUACAUGAGUGAUGGUACCUUGCAUAUUAAAUUCAUUUCUGAGCUGAACAAAAUAGUCUUUACUAAAUUAAUUAUUCUCUUACACUUUUCAAUUGUUAACUUGUAAGUAUAAAAUUCUCAUCUGUUUUUUUUUUACAAUAACACUUUUACCUUUUUGAUACAACUAAUACUGUUGAUUUGUCUUUGUAUUUUACUUAUUGUAGCUUUUUAAACACAUAUUCAUUGAAAAUAACCUGUUAUGUAUCAAAUAUACUAUGUGGUUGUCAAAUUAAAGUGAGUCGUCUGCCCACUAAAAACUAAAUAUGACAACGAUUACAGUUACAUUCAUUGCUUCUCAAAGUAGAAGUUGCUUCUCAACUUCUACUUUGCAGCUGAGUGUGCAGUCAGAAGUUAGGAUAUCAUUUUUUUUACAUGUA